GAUUAGUUAUUCUUUCAAAACGUUCUCUCUCUUAAGUGUGUGUCUUGGCAUCUUAUAACUAUACUUUGCUGCCAAGAGACAGUGAGACAGUACUGUAAAGUGUCAAAUACUGUCUGUCUGUAGAGCACAAGCAAUUUCACGACAGAGGAAGAGGCUCAGCAAAAUAUUCUUGAAGUGACAGAGAAAACACACUGGGAAGAUAUCAUGAGAAGAGAUUGUUAAGAAAUGUGACACAGAAAAAUGCCAACAAUGAGAGUUUUCACCUGCAGUACAAAGUCCACCGAAUCAAGGUAUUUCUAGAGGCUAUCCAUUGAGACAAAGGGUCCCGGUAACCCCUAGUUUGGUUACAUUUUAAUUACAAUGUUGUAUAGUAAUGUUACAAUCAAUCCCCUUGUAUUAUUUAUCUUGGCUAGAUGAGAUGUUCUAAUUUUUCAUUUUCUGAAGGUGAAAUUACCAUUACCACUCUAUUAAAUUGUAUAAUUGAUUUGCCAGCGCAAGUAAUGAUGGUUAUCUAAAGUACCGAAGCUUAAUUUGCUAUUCCUUCUAA